rnacentral:tRNA from 1 species
UAGAAAAGAAAGUUAGAUAAAAGCUGCUAACUUUUAAUCUUAGCGGUUAAAUUCCGUUACUUUUCU